rnacentral:rRNA from 1 species
UACGAAGGGGGCUAGCGUUGCUCGGAAUCACUGGGCGUAAAGGGUGCGUAGGCGGGUCUUUAAGUCAGAGGUGAAAUCCUGGAGCUCAACUCCAGAACUGCCUUUGAUACUGAGGAUCUUGAGUUCGGGAGAGGUGAGUGGAACUGCGAGUGUAGAGGUGAAAAUUCGUAGAUAUUCGCAAGAACACCAGUGGCGAAGGCGGCUCACUGGCCCGAUACUGACGCUGAGGCACGGAAAAGCGU